GUGGGGAAUCUUCCGCAAUGGACGAAAGUCUGACGGAGCAACGCCGCGUGAGUGAGGAAGGUUUUCGGAUCGUAAAGCUCUUUCGUUAGGGACGAACGUGCUCUUUGUGAAUAAUGAGGAGUAAUGACGGUACCUAAAUAAGAAGCCACGGCUAACUACGUGCCAGCAGCCGCGGUAAUACGUAGGUGGCAAGCGUUGUCCGGAAUUAUUGGGCGUAAAGCGCGCGCAGGCGGGAUAUCAAGUCUGUCUUAAAAGUGCGAGGCUCAACCUCGUGAGGGGACAGAAACUGGUAUUCUUGAGUGUCGGAGAGGAAAGUGGAAUUCCAAGUGUAGCGGUGAAAUGCGUAGAGAUUUGGAAGAACACCAGUGGCGAAGGCGACUUUCUGGACGAUGUCUGACGCUGAGGCGCGAAAGCUAGGGGAGCGAACGGGAUUAGAAACCCCUGUAGUCC
rnacentral:rRNA from 1 species